UGUGCCUAGGGGUGAAAGGCCAAUCAAACUCGGAGAUAGCUGGUUCUCCGCGAAAUCUAUUUAGGUAGAGCGUCAUCCGAAUACCCCGGGGGGUAGAGCACUGGAUGGGUAAUGGGGCCCCACAGGCUUACUGAUCCUAACCAAACUCCGAAUACCCGGGAGUACUAGAUGGCAGACACACUGCGGGUGCUAACGCCCGUAGUGGAGAGGGAAACAACCCUGACCGACAGUUAAGGCCCCCAAUUCAUGGCUAAGUGGGAAAGCAGGUGGGACGACCAAAACAACCAGGAGGUUGGCUUAGAAGCAGCCAUCCUUUAAAGAUAGCGUAACAGCUCACUGGUCUAAAUAAGUUGUCCUGCGGCGAAGAUGUAACGGGGCUCAAGCCAUGAGCCGAAACUUCGGACGCGAGUAAUCGCGUGGUAGCGGAGCGUAGUGUGAUAUAGCACCACGCCUCUUUAGCAAUUCUUUUGAAUUGCCUUGGAGGCUUAGGUGCUUUCUGUGAAGCCGGGCUGUAAGGCAUCCGGUGGAGAGAUCACUAGUGAGAAUGAUGACAUGAGUAGCGACAAAGAGUGUGAGAGACACUCUCGCCGAAAGUCCAAGGGUUCCUGCUUAAAGCUAAUCUGAGCAGGGUAAGCCGGCCCCUAAGUCGAGGCAGAAAUGCGUAGACGAUGGGAACUAGGUUAAUAUUCCUAGGCCAGGAGGAUGUGACGGAUCAUGAAGGUUGUUCACCCUUAUUGGAUUGGGUGGGCCGCUAAUUGGUUCCUGGAAAUAGCCCUCCAUCAGACCGUACCCUAAACCGACACAGGUGGACUGGUAGAGCAUACCAAGGCGCUUGAGAGAACUAUGUUGAAGGAACUCGGCAAAAUACCUCCGUAAGUUCGCGAGAAGGAGGCCCGGUUCCUAGGCAACUAGGGGCUGGGGGCACAAACCAGGGGGUGGCGACUGUUUACUAAAAACACAGGGCUCUGCGAAGUCGCAAGACGACGUAUAGGGUCUGACGCCUGCCCGGUGCCGGAAGGUUAAGAGGAGAGGUGCAAGCUUUGAAUCGAAGCCCCGGUAAACGGCGGCCGUAACUAUAACGGUCCUAAGGUAGCGAAAUUCCUUGUCGGGUAAGUUCCGACCUGCACGAAUGGCGUAACGACUUCCCCGCUGUCUCCAACAUAGACUCAGCGAAAUUGAAUUGCCUGUCAAGAUGCAGGCUUCCCGCGGUUAGACGGAAAGACCCCGUGCACCUUUACUACAGCUUCGCACUGGCAUCAGGCACAGCAUGUGCAGGAUAGGUGGUGGGCUUUGAAGCAGAAACGCCAGUUUCUGUGGAGCCUCCCUUGAGAUACCACCCUUGUUCUGCUUGAUGUCUAACCGCGGUCCGUUAUCCGGAUCCGGGACCCUGCGUGGCGGGUAGUUUGACUGGGGCGGUCGCCUCCCAAAGAGUAACGGAGGCGCGCGAAGGUUGGCUCAGAGCGGUCGGAAAUCGCUCGUUGAGUGCAAUGGCAGAAGCCAGCCUGACUGCGAGACUGACAAGUCGAGCAGAGACGAAAGUCGGCCAUAGUGAUCCGGUGGUCCCGAGUGGAAGGGCCAUCGCUCAACGGAUAAAAGGUACGCCGGGGAUAACAGGCUGAUACUGCCCAAGAG
rnacentral:rRNA from 1 species